rnacentral:rRNA from 1 species
CCUACGGGGGGCAGCAGUGAGGAAUAUUGGUCAAUGGCCGGAAGGCUGAACCAGCCAUGCCGCGUGAAGGUCAGUGCCCUAUGGGCGUUAAACCUCUUUUGUGCGGGAGCAAUAAUGGUCACGUGUGGCCAGACGAGAGUACCGUAAGAAUAAGCAUCGGCUAACUCCGUGCCAGCAGGCGCGGUAAUAAGGGGGAUGCAAGCGUUAUCCGGGUUUAUUGGGGUUAAAGGGUGGGUAGGCUGGGAGGUAAGUCAGCGGUGAAAUGCCCCCGCUCAACGGGGUGAAGUGCCUUUGAUACUGCCUUGCUGGAGUGCAGAUGCGGUAGGAGGAAUGUGUGGUGUAGCGGUGAAAUGCAUAGAUAUCACACAGAACACCGAUUGCGAAGGCAUCUCACGAAUCCGCGAUUGACGCUGAUGCACGAAAGCGUGGGUAUCAAACAGGAUUAGAUACCCCGGUAGUC